AUGGAGGAGCGAGCUCCCAAACGGCGGCCACGCCGUCGACCCAGCGCCACCACCCCCUGUCCCCCGCCCGGCAUCUGUACUUGGCCGAGGCCGCGAUGCAUCGAUCCGGCGCGCAGGUCCUUGCUCGCAGCCGGUGGAGAGAGCGCGCGGAGCGGCGGAGCACUGCUCGUGACGGCCGGCCUCACAGUCACAGUCAAUGCAGGCAGUGUGCUUAGGAAUCUACAGCAGAGGUACCUAUCAAGCUUUGUUAGUCAGAGGGUACAGGGCGUGCAGUCUGGCACCGCUUCUCUUCCUAAUAAAGGGAUUCAUAGGAGUGAUCCACAAAGAGUUUUACACAACUUCAUCAAAAUACUGAAUCGAGGAAUUUCAAAUGCAGCAAGGGAGGAAGUAAGUGUUCUUAGCACAGGCAUUGCGCCGGUGUAUGUAGUGGAGAAAGGCCUGCUGAAAAAGCAGCUUCUGCGUACUUGUGGAGGCCUUGUAGUUACUGGCUCUGCAAUCUAUGGCAUUAAGGCUUUGAUUGAUAGUUAUAUUAAGGAUAUGGCUGAAAAUCUCGAAAACACAGAAGUUGGUAAAUCUGGUGGUUUGAAUGAAGUGGCCAUGGAGAUAAGCACAAAAUUCAGUGACGUAAAGGGGGUUGAUGAAGCCAAGGCUGAGCUUGAGGACAUAGUUCACUACCUACGAGAUCCCAAGCAUUUCACACGCCUUGGUGGCAAGCUUCCAAAGGGUGUUUUGCUUAUGGGCCCACCUGGCACAGGGAAGACCAUGUUGGCAAGGGCUGUGGCCGGGGAAGCCGGCGUCCCUUUUUUUCCGUGCAGCGGCAGUGAUUUUGAGGAGGUCUAUGUAGGUCUUGGGGCUAAGAGAGUGAGGGACCUCUUUCAUGCAGCAAAGCAGCUGUCUCCUUGCAUAAUUUUCAUCGAUGAAAUUGAUGGGAUUGGUGGGCGCAGACACGCAGGAGGUUUAAUGUCGGAGAGGCAGACCCUGAACCAGCUGCUUGUUGAGAUGGAUGGCUUCAAGCAGAAUGACGGGAUCAUCGUGGUCGCGGCGACCAACUUCCCCGAGUCAUUAGAUAGCGCCCUUGUCAGGCCUGGGCGUUUUGACCGUCAAGUCAAUGUCCCUAUUCCAGAUGUUGAGGGCCGACGACAGAUCCUUGAGGCUUACAUGUCAAAAGUGUCUACAGGCAAGGGUGUGGAUGCAAUGACCAUUGCGAGGGGAACGCCUGGGUUUUCAGGUGCAGACCUUGCAAGCCUAGUGAACGAUGCCGCUCUCAAGGCUUCCACGGAUGGGGCAAAUGCUGUCGGGACUGAUCACUUCGAGUACGCCAAGGACAAGAUCCUCAUGGGCAGCGAGCGCAAGUCGUUGGUGGUAUCUGAACAAUCCAGGAAGAAGACUGCGUACCAUGAGGGUGGGCACGCCCUUGUUGCUAUCCUCACAGACGGUGCUGAACCUGUCCACAAGGUCACCAUUGCGCCCAGAGGAAAUAGUCUCGGCAUGGUGGCGCAGCUGCUGGGGGAAGACAGUGAGCUGGAACUCUCCAAGAAGCAGUUGCUGGCGAUGCUGGAUGUGUGCAUGGGAGGGCGAGUGGCUGAGGAGCUUAUAUUUGGAGAAGCCGGGAUCACCACUGGUGUCUCAUCUGACCUAAGCAAGGCGACUCAAUUGGCGAAAGCCAUGGUCACCAGGUAUGGUAUGAGCAACCGGGUCGGCUUUGUUUCCUACGGCAAUGACGGUGAUGGUGGCGUUGGCAUGACAACGCCCCUGGUUGAUGAGGAGAUAAAAGCAUUAUUGGAUAACGCUUACCGGAACGCAAAAACGAUUCUCACGGAGCACAACAAGGAGCUCCAUGCGCUAGCAAAUGCCCUCCUGGAGCAUGAAACUCGCACUGGUGACCAGAUCAAGGAACUAGUUUCGACAGGACGACAAGCAGAUGGUCAUAACAAUAGCCAGCAAGAUCAUCAGGUAACACCUUCUCUCACCGGUAACGAGAUCGCCAAACUAGUAUCGACAGAAGAACAAGCAGAUGGUCAUAACAAUAGCAAGCAAGAUCAGGAAACGCCUUCUUCGCCCUAG
rnacentral:rRNA from 1 species